UUUAUUGUCCAGAAGCAGUAACUUUUAAAUAAUUCUCUUUAAAUAUUUUAAAAUCAGUCAUUUAUAUUUUAAGUUUACCCCAGAAGAGAUAUGAUAAGUACACUCUUAAAUUUAAAUCUAAAUUUAGUUAAUUUUUAAAAAGUAUAUUUUUAUAAUGAUGUACAAUAUGAUCCAUUGGCAUCAUGUAGUUCAUUAACAGACUUUUUCUUGUGUUUUAUAGCUGUAGAAUCAGAAAUAUGUUUUCUAUUAAAGGAUUCUUUAAUUUCAGCCUUCUUGAAUAAAAUCUUGAUUGUCUUCCAAGUAAAUUCGACAACUUUUCUGAAAAACUUAUUCUGAUGUUUAACAAUGUUUAAAUACUGAAAAUGUUUCCUGCUAAUAAAGCUUAGGCCCUAGCAUUGUUCUUCAAGCCUAGGUCUUUCUGCUUUAGCUUUGUAAAAAUGGACUACUGGGCACGAUCAUUUUUAUAUAGUCCUCUAUCAACCGGUCUUAGUUUUGUCUUCUUGAAGCUGAUAUAUUUAUUUACUUAAAUUUUACUCGAGUCACUUUAACUUCUGAAUUGACCCCUAAUUCUAUCAUUUGCUUUGAUUGUGCCAUAAUGUCUUUUUCUAUUAAAGGUCGAUAUGAAUGGGAAUACUGUGCUUUGAUUUUGUAAACUAUUAGCUUAUACUUUGUAAACUACCUCAUUUUGUAAUGCAGUAUCCUGAGAUAUAUUAUUUAUUUUUAUUUAUUAAUGCUUUGAAAGGAAUCUGGAAAAUGUUCACCAUAAUUCUCAAUUGGAUAACAAAGAAUGGUAACAAAGUAUGUUUUAGAAUAGGAGAAAUAAUGGGAGUGACAGACUGGGCUUGCAGAGCUGAAGGGGGAGCUCAUGGAGAUUAUUUUGGAGUUACAUCAUCAAAAUGAGCAGGAGUGGAACAAAUGGCAGACAAGGAGAGUGGAUUGAAGGGAGAGAAAUGUGUUCCAGAUGAAAGGGUGCAAUACAAUGUAUAGAGUUGUGAAAGCAGGGUGCAUAUUGGAACUGCCAUGGAUUUAGCAUAGCUGGUUAUAGAAGAAUGGGGGAAUGCAUGGAACUCAAAAGGAUGGUUGGAAAAUGAUGAAAAGGAGCCUGUAUACCCUACUGAGGGAUUUGUACAUUAUCCUACAGAUAAUACAUUUCCCAGGGAAAAAAACAUGGUGAAAUUUGUGUUUUAGAAAAGAAAAAAAAAUAGUCAAAAUGUAGAAAAUGAAAUGAAAUGGUUUUGUUUGGUCCCAGAGGAAACACUGAGAGAAUUCACAUGAAAGAAAAUACGAGCUCAGAUGAGGCUGUGGUCAUGAGAUGGCAGAAGAGGGAGCUAGUUCUGGAAUUCAGGCUCUCUACUGUUUGGUUGUAAGUGGUAAAGGAAAGGGGAGAAUUAAGAAAGUAGGGAAGGUGUAGUGGAUAAAAGGAUGAUUAACCAAGACAAGCAGUAGAGAAAAGAGAGGAAAUCUGAGAAGACAAUGAUUUCACUGUCUGUGCUACAUUCUAGUGGUAAGUCAGUUAGAAAAUGCAGUUCUGGUACAUAAGAGGGAGCUGGAGGCCAGAGGAAAAACUGAGGAGUCAACAUGUCAUAAGUUGGUGGAUCAGACCAGAGGCAAGACCAAAACCCACUGGAAGCAUGUAAAGUAUAGGCAAUAAUGAAGGCCUAGAACAGUAAACCAGAUAUUAGUGACACUUAAGAGGUGGGAAGAGGAAGAGAAGUCAGUGAAAGAAACAGAAGGAAGAAUAUAAAACGUGAAAUAAAGAUUUAGAGUGAAAAUGUCUCCAUAGCCAAGGGACAGAGGUUUUUAAGGAAAAGGAGCUGAAUCUAACAGUACAGAGUUCAAAUAGAAUGUUGAUGAGAGAGAAGGCAUCAGAUUGUUUUUGUUGACCUGCAUGGUUAAAAUGUUUUAGAUUAGUUAAGGAAAGGAGUAGAAGACUGCAGUGGGUUCAGAAGAGAAUGGAACGUGAGCAAGCAGAGAAUGUGACUGUAGAAAGCUCAAGAAUCCUGGCAACAAUGGAAAGGAAAUAGGUGGGAUUGAGAACUAGCAAGGUUAUGGGGUUGAUGCUUAUAUAUGUUUAUAUGUAUUUUUAGACAGAAGUGAUUUGUGUGUGGCUAUGGGUAAAGAUAAAUCUACUUGAGAGAGGGAGAUAAAUGUAGAAGGGAGACGACUCAGAAAAUGAGGAACAGCAUUGGAUGAAAUUAGGAACAGAGAGGAAAAGCCCUGGGCUGAAGAAUAAGCGUCUCUUCCUCUAAGGCAGAAAAGGACAUGCUUUGUGAGUGGUUCAUGCACUGUCUGGAAAUGACAGGCCAAGAGAUUUUGAUGCUCAUAGAUACCACUGUCAUGACAGGCAUGGGAGUUCAUUAGACAGGUGGACCAGAAUCACAGGCUCAGAUCCAGAUUUCCAGGAGCCAGAACAGAAUAUGGGAACUGAUAACACUGACAAGGAAGAGAUAGGAAAUGUUACUUCUUAUUUUUGGAUCUAGAAACAGUGUCAUGUGACCUGGUAGGAGGAAAGGCUAGGUAUGGAAGGGAGGUAAUGUACUGUGUUGUGAUCAAGAACUUGGGACUUGGAGGACAGAGGACAGUGAAUUCCUAUCUCCUCUCAGGCACUUAUUAAGUGUGUGAACUUAUGUAAGGCACUUAACCACUUCCUGCUUGAGUUUCUUCACAUGUAAAUAGAAGGCAAUGGUAAUAACUGCACAAGACUAUUAUAAGGAAUAAAUGAGAAACUGAUACAAAGCUUUCAGAGGGUACAAUAUACAGGAAUUAAAGUUUAUGUUUGUGUGUUUGUUCAUUUUGAUUACACAGACUAGGAAAGUGGGAAGAAUUGUGAAUGUUCUAGCUCAAGGGCUGUACGAUCUCUGAGAAUUAGGAGAAUGCCACUUGAUGGACCACUGGAAAGGGGUGAAGCUUUGGGAGAGUGGUGUUGUGAGGUAGAAUAGAAAGUGACCAGGAGCACAUAAAAAGUUCACUAAGUGUUGAUGACAUUGGUCUUGGCAAUGAUUUCAUGGUUAUGUUAAGUGUCCUUAUAUAUACAUGUAUAAGUGUACAUGUAUAUGUGUGUGUGUGUGUGUGUGUGUAUAUAUAUAUAUAUAUAUAUAUAUAUAUAUAUUCGCUAAGUGGAGUUAAAAGCCCAGCUGUAGAAAGUGGCCAUUAUUUGUAAUAUUAGUACAUUGAGUAGUCAAAAGUUAUUUCUCCAGAAUUAGAUUAGAGGAUAUGAGGAAAUUGCUAGAAGGAAAAGUGUAUGAGAGAGUGGAGUGUGGGAGUGGAUCAUUGCAUGGAGGAGAGCAAGACAGCAAGAGAUGGGGGGGGUGGACACAGAAGUGACUGCUGAGUUGGGAACAUAGGCCUGUUUGUGAGAGGAAGGGAAACCAGGAAGAGCUGGAAGGAUGCACAAAAUGUCUGCUGAUUCCAGUCAUGUCAAAAACAAACAUAACAGGGUUGGAGUAAUGAAAACCCAGAACGUGGGGUUUGUUAGAUGAAGAGCAGAAUGAAGACUGCUGAAAUGGAGAGGAGUUGAAGCAGUGGGCUCGUGAAGAAUGCAAGAGAUGGGGUGGGUAAGGGCAAGUUGAAGGCCAGGGUCCUGGGAGGUGACUAAAUGAUUGGGAGAGUUUGGAUUGAGAUAAAGCCAAGCCAGUGUCCAAGCCGUGGGAUUUAGUGUAUGAUGCUGAUGAGGACAGGUAGAGGUGGCAGACCUGCCUGGCGAGAACUCUGGGAAAGCUUAGAAUGCUUUUUCCCCAUAGAGAGAAAGUCUACAGAAAAUUAUGUAGAGUCUAAGGCUGGCAUGGGAUUCUUAAAGGAGGAUUCAAUAUCUUCCUUAUCUCUGGAGUCCCAGAGUCCAACACAGUGGCUAUCACAUU